UUUUUUUUAACCCCCACCACCCACAGAAAUAAAAUUUAAUUAGAACAGCACUCCCUUUGCAUUUUGGUAUUUCAAAUACAACCACCCACAUAAUAUUUAAAAAAAUUGCCUUCCCUGGGGGGGACAUAGUAUUUUCUGGAACAGCCCUAAUGGGCAAAGUUCAUUAUAGAUAUAAUUGUAAGAAGCAAAAUCGUUCAGUAAAGUAAGAACUUCAAACACAUCACCAUCACCAAAAUACAAUUUUGUCAUGAAACCAUUUGUGUCCUUUGUUUAAUAUGCACAUAGACCAAGGUGAGCGACACAGGCUCUUUAGAGCCUCUAGUUUAUGAUAAAUGUUAAUAGUGAAGGGACGUUUUGAGAGAUCAGUGUAACUUUGACAAACUGUAUUUUAUGUGUACAUCAUUGUAGCCUUAAAGAAUUCUUCAUCUGUAAUUUUAUAAUGAUAGAUAUGAGAUUAGUCAUUAAAAUUGUUCAUUAUAACUAUA
rnacentral:lncRNA from 1 species